GUUUGCUGCCAGUGGUCAAGCGGGAAGGAGCCUGUCUCGGACGGCCAGAGCCGACUCAAGAAUGCUUCACCAUUUAUAUCACCUGCUACUGAAAGCACUUAUAAAAUGUGCCUGGGCAAGUCCUAUUAUAUGAAUGGAACUGGACAUUGCCUCUCUCACUAGAUGAAGCAAUCCUGUCUCCACACUGCAUGGGCAUCAGCACAGACAGCACUAAGAUCACAGGAGAGAGGCUCUCUACUCUUGGUGCUAGUAUUUGGACGUGAACUAACCCACAGCACCUUAAGACUGUUUUUGUAGGUAUAGUUCACUGACCUCUGUGUUGGAGCAUGCCUGCGUGGACAGAGUCUUAAGGCAAUUAAGGUGCAAAGCUCUAGCAAAUCUCUAUUGAGCAUGUGAGAAUGGAAUCUGUUCUAAUAUUUAUAAUCUACCAGAUGUGCAUAAAUUUGGCUAGGGACUGAAGGAGGGUCAAUAGUCACUGACAUGAAGGCUAACACCCUGCCAAAUUUCAAGUUUUUCCUCCAAAGUAUGGGGAGUCGACUUAUAAUAAGAUAUGGGAUUGCCAGUGUCUAUUUUAAGACCAUUUGAAUUGGUCUGUGUCCUGUUGGUCAGACUGUGUGUACGUGUGGGGCUGAGGGGAGGAGAUAAAACAACCCAUGCUUCUAAAUUGUUGUUCCUGGGCCCUGUAGUUAAGCAAAAUUAGCUUUGAUUUUGAUGAGAAUUUUUCUCAAUGGCAGCUACAGGGUCAGAAUGAGCAACAUUUUUUAGCAGAUCAGUCAGAAAAAGUUACAGGAAAGUCUGCAGUUUUCUGUUUUCAUAUAGGCUGUUUCUGAGUGUUGUCUGCUAUGGGCCAGGUUCCAAGUGAUUUUAGUGGGCUUUGCGUUGGGUUCUAUCAGACCACUGGUAUAUAAAGGACUGUUUGGGUUACCCCCGAGGUUGUUUUUAUAAGUAGGAGUGGCUGAUUUGCAUUUUCCUAUUCCUAAGAAGGAAAGCUCAUGCAUUGUUAGAGAAGAGCUAUAAACUACCAAGAAGUGACCUCAGAUGACAGGUAUAUCAUGCACUUUCAUUCUGUUCACUUACAGUAUUUACAACAUCUCCCCAUUAACGUUUAGAUUUUUACAACUAUUAAUGACCCUUUUAUCAGAGCAGCAAUAACCAGUAAAUCUAUUGUGGCUUUUAUUGCUCUGCUUGUGACACAUAAAAGGCCUGAUUUAUAACAUGUCAUGAAUGGUGAAGAGUAUUUUCAGCACCAUAAAACUUCUAAUCCAGUUGCAACAAUAACUGUAUGUUCGUAUAAAGGCCACAUUUCUAUUGUUUUCAGAGAAUUAGCUUUAAGUGGAAUUCACCUGUAGGCAGCAAUGAACUCUGUGCAUUUAACUUGUUAUGAAAAAGGUAAAUCAAAGCUCAAAGCAUGGAUGCAUCAUGAACAUUUUUCAUUAUUUUUACCUUGCACAUUCACCAGUCACACUCCUGUAUUUGUAGAUACCACAAUCAAAUAUCAUCCCAUGGACAUUACAGUUUGCUCCAGUAACGUGACUAUAUUCUAUCAUUAUAACUUUUUCUGAAUGUAUGUAGGACAACACCAGCCCAUAUAGAAAACAUGGUCCCUAUCCCAAUUUGUUUACAGUCUAAUUCAAAUAUAUACAGUAUGGUUUGGUCUCAGAUACCUACACAAGACAAUGCAAACAAUGUUUCUUGGAGAAUGGGCAUUGAAAGGCUUUAUGAGAGAACAUAGUGAGGAAGAAUUUGAAACAUGAAAGGAAAACUGUUUUGUACAUUAGAAGGCAGCUUCUGACUAUCUCCAGCCCCAUAAAUGUCAAGGUCUUUAGCAGUCAAGAGAGGCUUAAAAUCAGUCAUUUUAACUCAGUUAAUGUAAAUUUUCAGUAGUGUACACAAAAAUCAGUGUACCAUUUCUGUAAUUAAUAAUCACACAAUAUCAGAGUGUGUAUCCAAUUCCCAGUGCUACGCUGAAAAUAUAUAUUUAAGUUAGUUUUCAAUUAUAGUAACAGCCAAAGCAAUAAGGAUUUAAAUUUACCCACUUGGCCAAGAUUUCUAGCAAGCCCUUGCAACCUUUUACUGGUAAGUUUUCCUCUUUUGGACCUUCCAACUUCUGUAAUUAAAAAACACUAAAUAAGCCCUUUAAGAUCCCGUGAAAAUAAAUUGUGAAUAAAGGCAAUAUUGGUCUAAUGGUUUAUAGGUGCACACCUGUCUCUCUCUGUAGAUAUAGAUUACUAAUAUUAUGUGUGAUACGCUUUCUGUAAGUUGUGGAUGCUGUGUAAGGUUCCAGAUAUUCCUUUUGUUUAUAAAUUUGAAUGGUUUUGGCACUACCUCCUAAAUCAGAAGACGGUACUAUUAAUUAUGGGCAAAGCAUAUUUCUGGCAAUGGCUUCAUUUGCCCUAGAUCUGUAUUUACAUCCUUAAUGCUAGAUUUGGGGUGUGAGUCAAAAACCUUCUAAUGGGAAGAUUCCCCUUGAUUUGAAUGGAUUUGGAUCAGGCCCUUGUUGCCAUUGAGCACAAAAAGGGGAGAGAACAAACUUUGUGCUUGGCUUAUGUUGUUUUUCAAGUUUACUGUCUUUCAGCUCCCUAUUCUUUUCUCCUUCACCCUGUCCCUUGCAAACACAUUCUCUGCGAUAUCCUCCUCAACAUCCCUUCUCCUAGUAUUUUCCUGGCUCCUGCUGACCCUCUUCUCCUCAGUAGGACUAUAAAACCAAGAGCUCCCUAAAGAACUUUUCAUUAAUGUAAUUUAUUAGUUAAAUCAUUCUUCUGACCUAUUUCCCACUCAGCUAGAACAUUUUCCUGUCCACUCAAUGUAAUUGGUGCAUCACAUGAGCUCCAGUGGCUGUGCUAUAUGGCCAGACAUAUAUCACCAAGGCAGAGGAUAUUAGCAGAAAGGUGAGGGGUUUUCUUGGCACUCUGCCACCAUGGAUCAGACUGAAUUUCUGUUCUAAUUACUGAUACAUGCAGUCUCCUAAAGAGACAUUGCAGUAUUAAUUUACACCUUAUUCCUCACAGCUCUCUCAACUACAGUCAGCUGAAAAAAAAUAGGGCUUUCACUAUGGACUGGGGGUUCAAUACUGCAGACCUUGAGUCAUGUUAACAAGCUUCAUUUUCUCACAUUCCCUUGCUUAAGAAUCCUACCACUUUGCAGGAUCAGGACCUAGCAAUAGAGGGUAACAAGGUGAAAUCCUCCAAUCUCACAUUUUGGAUAAGAUGCAUUAUAUUCUUUGUUCACUGUUGUAAACUAACUUGGAGUGCUCCUUGUAGGGGACAACUCCAUCAACCUAGUUUUAGAUGUCAUCAGCUUCCCCAGUGAAACACAGCCUGACUGUUUUAUAUACUAUGGAAUUUCCUUUUGUAUAUAAUAAUGUGCUAUCUGUUGAUUCAAACUUCAAGGGAAUCUGAAAUAUUAAUCUUCAGUGAAAACUGUACCGUAGUUUCAUUGCACAACAUAUUCACUUUAAAUUUAAAAAAGUCUAAAAAAAAAUCUAUCUACAAGGUCAAAACUAAGUCUGGAUCUUUGCCAACAGGCUGCCAUUCUUCCCUUUUGUUGUUUUGCCUAGUAAAAGCCCUUCACAUAAUCAACAUUCGCUAUAUUGUUUUCAAUUGGCUUCCACCUUUUUGGACUCCUCCUCCCUUCCCUUAUCCCCAUGUGCUC